UUUUCAAUCAGAUCGAAGCCUAUACUUUUUUCAAUCAGAUCCAGAAACGAUCGAAGCCCCAAAACCCCAAAAUCGUUCUCCAAAAUCGAAGAGAAGCCCCAAAAUCGAACGACAUCGUCUACACAAAAUCGAAUCCCCAAAUUCAAAACCCUAAGUGUAUAUGUUUUUGGUUUACGCAUGUUUUUUUGUUUAUUUUGGUUUUAGAUCGAUUGAAGCAUACAAAAUGUCGGAUAGAGUAAAGGAUAGAUGAACCCGAUGUGAUGGAAAGCCAAAGGGAAGUAGAUAAGAAAAAUGGAUUUUGAGGCAAGAAGUUUGCAGCCAAGUGUGAAGGCAAUGCUGCUUGCGAAGUUUCGAGAAUACAAAUCUGAUUUGACCAAGUUGAAAAAGGAAGUUAAAAAACUUGCUUCAGCUAAAGGCGGUCAAACUGCACAUGAAGAGUUGCUCGAGUCUGGAAUGGUCGAUGCUCAUAUGAUCGCAAUGAUGUAGUUUUCAUUGAAGGGAUUACUCGAUCUAACAAAAAGACCCUGACCAACUCUGCAAAAAAGGUCAAGUUAAGUAAGAAUGGGAAUGUAUAAGUUUUCCUGGUUAUGUUUAUUAUCGUGUUUUCCGGUGAUUAACAUGUAUACCUUUCAUUUAUUAUACGAGUAUGUUUUAGGGAGUUCUAGUGGAGCAUGGACAUUCUUCUAAGAGUUUUACCCCAGGAUCAAAUCACUUUUUUGAUUUAGAUGAUUACAUUUUUGAUGAUGAUUAUUCGGCGCUACAAGCCCAUUUUGAUGACAUUAAUUUCCCCAGUGGGAUUGAAGCUUCUGUUCCCUCCUUGCCAGAUCUACUUCAAAUGAAAAAAAUUAUACCAGUAAAUGCCUACUUUUCAUGCACAGUUGGUAGCAAGUCAAAGUCAACCUCACUUGUGCAAUACAUAAGCCAGGAGUGAAGCAGGCAAGAUAGCAUCUCAAUGGUUUUGUAUUAACAUAUAUGUUUCUAUCUAUCAUCCUUUUAUGCUUUCUUCA